rnacentral:lncRNA from 1 species
GUUUCUCUUUUGAGUUGCUAUAAAGUACAGACGAUUCUACCAACCUUGACACAAACGCCCAGCUGCCCCCAGUUCAGUGCCACAGAGAAAAGCCUUGCAGAACAGGUUGAGUUUGUGGAUGGGCAUGGGGUAGAAGGUAUCAUCUCUUCUCUAUCAAUGACUUGGGUGAUACUUCUGGCAACAAAACAGACAGUUCUCGGCCUCUGUGUUUUCAUUGUCCAACUGAAGAUUAGACAAGAGGCAGCAUGGGGUGGUGGAUAAAUCGUGGACCAGGAUUGAAGCGAAGAUCUGCUCAUCUGGGACACUCACCAGACGGAGUCUUGCUCUGUCGCCCAGGCUGGAGUACAGAAGUACAGUGGCGCGAUCUGCAACCUCCGUUUCCUGGGUUCAAGCAAUUCCCCUGUCUCAGCCUCCCGAGUAGCUGGGACUACAGACCCAUGCCAUCAUACCCAGAUAAUUUUUGUAUUUUUAGUAGAGACAAGGUUUCACCAUAUCAGUCAGGCUGGUCUCGAACUCCUGACCUCAGGUGAUCCCCCUGCCUUGGCCUCCCAAAGUGCUGGGAUGACAGGCGUAAGCCACCUCGCCUGGCCAGUUUAUCAAUUUCGUUAAGCUUUCCAAAUAAUCAAAUGUGUUGGUCCUGUUGAUUUUUCUCUUUCAUAUGUUCGCUUUCUAUUUUAUUAAUAUCUAUGUUUUUCUGUAUUCUUUCCAUUUAUUUACCUUCUUUUUGUAAUUAUCUGAGAUGAAUAAAUCUUGGCUUGGUAAUUAUAUAUAGAAUUACUAAGCUGAGAUUCAGAGAAGAGGGAUGAACCUGGAACUUGGAGCCACUUUUGCCCAGGAGAUAAUUUAUAUAUACAUGUAUAUAUAUUCAGUGUAUGUACACAUAAAUGAGGGCGGUUGGCUCUAAGCAACAAACACUCACCUCUGCAUAACUUAAGCACAAAAUAGCCACUCACAGAAUGGAAGGAAGGGCUGAAGAACCAGGUUUCAAAGAGAAUAGGUGCGAGGGCAGGCCAGGGAUCUGGGAAGCAGAAACUACUAUUUUUUUAUUGCUCUGUUCAAAAGUCAAAUUCCAAGAAGUGAGCAUCUGAUCUGUGUCAAGUGCCCACCUCUUGGCUAGGAGCAGGUAGGGCAGACUGCAUGCAGUGAGAAAGACUGGUUCCUCUGAAGCAAAUUCAGAGGCUAUUUAUCAGAAGAUUUGGGAAUGAAUAAUGGGCAGACAAAAAUAACAAAUGUUCACUGUAGAGAGAGAAAAAGAAAUACAGCAGGAGAGACACAGGAGCAAGGAAGCAGAAGAGAAAGAAAGAAAAGUGGAGAGAAAUUGGUAAAAUGAGGUGGGGUGGUUUGGAUGUGUGAGCCAUCCGAAAUGAGAGAAUGUGCCAACCAUCAAGAAAAAUCAUUGAAGCUCUUCCCCUAUCCAGGGACACAUAUGACUUUUGUCAGUCUUCAUGGGCCCCUUCCUCCAUUAAAAAUACUAAAAAUUGGCUGGGCGCAGUGGCUCAUGCCUGUAAUCCCUGCACUUUGGGAGGCCGAGGCGGGUGGAUCACGAGGUCAGGAGGUUGAGACCAUCCUGGCUAACAUGGUGAAGCCCCGUCUCUACUAAAAAUACAAAAAAUUAGCCGGAUGUGGUGGCAGGCGCCUGUAGCCCCAGCUACCUGGGAGGCUGAGGCAGGAGAAUGGCAUGAACCCGGGAGGCGGAGCUGCAGUGAGCCGAGAUCGCACCACUGCACUCCAGCCUGGGCGACGGAGCAAGACUCCGUCUCAAAAAAAAGAAAAAUUAAAAAUCAUAUUUUAUGACGGUAUUGGUAUAAAGACAAAUGUAAUUCAGACUGGAUUUAUUGUUAUGUAUCAUGAUUAUUAUAUUCAUGUUUUUCUUCUGAUCUUAAAAGGAAUCAAAAUUAAGACAUUUUUAUGAACCCCUAAAAGUAUCGUGGGCCCUAGAUGCUCUGCCUACUCCUUCUUCUCUUCUGUAAGAUGCAGCUUGCAUUGGCAUUUGCUGCCGUCUCCAUGCACGUCAGUCCAUCUUCCAGCUGCCAGCACCCAAAGCACUUUGCCCGAGAGCUCUCUCUGGCUGCUGGAGGCAGCUAUUUGACAUCCUUAUCCCACAGCUCUUAAACAAUAGGUAAUGGGAGAUGGUAUUUAAAUACCCCAAAUCCUUACCCCUCAGAGGCACAUGUUCUUCAUCAACUCCCAGAGGACCUAAGCAAGAUUAACCUCUAGUCCCCCAGUGUGGUAACUUGGUUAGUAUGAACUUCUGUUGGCUACUUUCCCUUUCCUGUUUCACUCCUCCACUGCCCUGCCAGUGGUUUCCGGGAUCUCCUCCCCUCAAAAAAACAUUCACACUCAAAUCCUUGUCUCAGUCUGCUGCUGGGAGAACUCAAACUGAGACACCACAGAGACAGUUCAGAUAUGAGUCCCUGUCCAAAUCUCAUGUUGAAUUGUAAUCCCCAGUAUUGGAGGUAGGGCCUGGUGCAGGUGAUUCAGUCAAAGGGGUGGAUGCAGGUGAUUAAGUCAAAGGGGUGGAUGCAGGUGAUUAAGUCAAAGGGGUGGAUGCAGGUGAUUAAGUCAAAGGGGUGGAUGCAGGUGAUUCAGUCAAAGGGGUGAAUUUCUCAUGAGUGGUUUAGCGCCAUCCCCUUGGUGCCAUCACUACUCGUGAUAGUGAGUGACUUCUUGCAAGAUCUGGCUAUUUAAAAGUGUGUGGCACCUCGCUCUCUCACUCUUGCUCCUGCUUUCACCAUGUGGCAUGCCUGCUCUGCCUUAGCCUUCUACCAUGAAGCUUCCUGAAACUUCUCUAGAAACCUAGCAGACAUUAGCACCAUGCUUCCUAUGAAGCCCGCAGAAGCAAUUAAACCUCUUUGUAAAUUACCCAGUCUCAGGUAUUUCUAUAUAGCAAUGCAAGAACAGCCUAACACAACUCCACUUCAGGUUAGCUUGCACUGGGGCAUGAGGAAACAAAGCUCUCUAAAAUAUCAGCCUUACAACCAAAUACAAAGGGCUAGUGACUUCACUCUGCAGAGAGGGGAAGGACAAAGAGUCUUCUACUAAUUAUUUUCUUACAGAGCUGUGACCUUGUUGGGAGGGGUAAUCUGGCCUUGAAUAUUUCCUUGGUUCACUGUUGUGAAAAUAUUAUUCCAGAAGUUUUUCUGGUCAUCGGACUUUCUUAGCCUGGCAUUUAUUCUUGUUUCAAUUUCAUAUGAAAACUUUAGUGUUGGCCAAAGAAUGCUGGACUAUUUAAUUCUAUCAAAGCCUGGUGAAAUCUUUCUUCCUGGUGUUUUGGCUGGCGGAGUUACUUAAUUUGUACAAACCAACAGCAACAGGGCAAAGCACUUUGACAAUAUAAAGGGUUAUGGAAGGAAUAAUUCACAUUAAUCAUCUGAGUUAUGCUUUCAUUUGCUUUAAUGUGGUGGAUUUGGCCAUGGGGGCAGUAGGUCUUAUGACUGCCCCUCAGAAUAAAAGUUUAAAGGAAUGUGUAUUUCUGGAAAAUCACUUUUCUGUAACACACCCAGAGUUCUUUUAAAGAUACUUUAGUUUGCAAAACUUCAAAUGAAGAGCCAUUAUUUACUUUAUAAUCCAAGGCAGAGCCAAUGGGAAACCCUGGGAGAGAAGAAGCUGGAGGAAUCAUACAUGUUUUCAUGGUGGAACUUUGCAACAAAUGUAAUUUAUUUUUUCUUUAAAAUAGUUCUUAUGGUUUUUCCCACAUUGUUACAUGGGCAAUUUUCAUCUCUGGUGUUCCUAAGGAGUCAGAUCACAAAACAGCAUAAUGCUUAACAACAUGAGCUUCAAACUCAGAAAGAUCUGGGUUUGAAUCCUACCACUUGUGUGUGACUUUGGACUGGUUACCUAACCUCUCUAUACCCCUGUAGACUGAAGAUAAUUAUUUUACCCUCCUCAUAUACACAUGAGGUUAGUGAGGGUAUAAAAAAUAAUGCACAACAGUACUUAGCAUGCACUGAAUGUAUUAUGUACUAACUAUUACUAUUUUUUGUUUCUUGAUCUUAGCCAAUGUUCCCUUAACCUGAAUCCCUCUAAUAACUUUUCUAGACACUCAUAACAUCCUCAGCAACUACCAAGCAGUUUCCACUCAAGGCCAGCGUGUCCUCUGCAUGGCUGAUCAUCUGGUGUAAGAUCUAGAGCUACAAAAUCCUGCCCACACCUUCGAGUCUCCUGGGAGCCUGAUCCCAAGCUUCUGUCCCCUUGUCCACCAUGUCAGACACUCUUUAGGAUUAGGUGACUAGGGUGGGACUUGGUCAAGUCUGGUGUUAUGAUCUCUAAAGGCCACUAAAAAGCUAACUGGCCACCUACAAGGGAUUUGAGGGCUUGCCUCAACCUUUUCGCCUUAGUGAAGGCAAGGUAAUUAGGUGACACAAUGAGCAGAGGCCUGGAGCACGGAGAGGCAAGAAAAGUAAACUUCAGUAGGGGAUACUGAGGGUACAUCAGAACCCCAAGACGUCCAAGGCAACCAGGGCACACAGGGAAAAGACGAGGGUAGGCCGUGGUCAGAGCUGUCCAGAUGAAGUCCAGAAGUGAGAUGGCCACCAGAGAUGAGUAUGAACUUUGACAUCCUCAACAGUCAACCCAGAUGACCCAGGAGCUCAAAGUAACAACCACAAAAAUAGUAACACAUUCUACUGGUCUUUUGCUUUAUCUCUGAUACGGUUUGGCUGUGUCCCCACCCAAAUCUUAUCUUGAACUGUAGCUCCCAUAAUUCCCAUGUGUCAUAGGAGGGACCUGGUGGGAGGUAAUUGAGUCAUGGAGCAGGUCUUUUCUGUGCUGUUCUCAUGAUAAUAAAUAAGUCUCACGAGAUCUGAUGGUUUUAAAAGGGCAGUUCCCCUGCACAUGCUCUUGCCUGCCACCAUGUAAGACAUUGGCUUUGCUCCUCAUUUGCCUUCCACCAUGACUGUGAGGCCUCCCCAGCCAUGUGGAACUGUGAGUCAAUCAAACUUCCUUUUUUUUUUUGAGAUGGAGUUUCGCUCCUGUUGCCCAGGCUGGAGUGCAAUGGCAAGAUCGCGGCUCACUGCAACCUCCGCCUCCCAGGUUCAAGCGAUUCUUCUGUCUCAGUCUCCCGAGUAGCUGGGAUUACAGGCAUGCACCACCAUGCCCAGCUAAUUUUGUAUUUUUAGUAGAGACAGAGUUUCUCCAUGUUGGUCAGGCUGGUCUCGAACUCCCGACCUCAGGUGAUCCGCCUGCCUCGGCCUCCCAAAGUGCUAGGAUUACAGGCGUGAGCCACCGCACCUGGCCAAACUUCUUUCCUUUGUAAGUUACCCAGUCUCAGGCAUGUCUUUAUUGACAGAGUGAGAACAAACUAAUAUAAUCUCCAUAUCUGGUAGAGUGCUAAGCAGUGGCUGCUUCAUGUAAUAGUCACCAACAUCCAUGUGUGUUUCUGGGGCAGAAGUGCCAAGGCAGAGCCCGCAGUCAGCAGUGGGAGAUCUGGGAAGAAGUCUCCACCUCAGCCCUUCCAUUCACAAGCUGAGCGACAAGGGCAAACCACACAGCCUCCUGAAUCUCAAUAGAUUCACUCUGCUGGGCAGUGGGGAGAGCCAAAUGAGGCAGGGCACAUGAGCUGCUCUGUAAACUUUACAGGGUCGUGCGAAUAAUAUGUGACUCAACUUACUGUGCUUAACCCAGGGUCUGGCACCUGUAGUAAGGUGUUAAUAUUGAAGUUUCCACAGACACAAUGAAACACAAUAGUGUGAAAUUCCAAAGCCAGAUCUCUCAUGCAAAAAUUAUAAGGAAAAUUGUGAGGAACUGGUUUCAUAACUUCUAAGUCCCCUCUUACCUACUCUGGGAAUACAAAAAGAGAGAGAGAGAAUGAGAGAAUUUUGAACAUGUGUGUGAGUAUGUCUGAUGUAUUCAUUUUUCAGAGAAAGCUGUGGUCAUGUCAUGAGGCUUCCCACUCCACCCAUGGGAAAGAGGUAGGGAGUGCCGUCUUUGCCUCAGAUUUAGCAAGGAGGCUUCCACGGGAUCACUCAGAAAACUGUGAAACGCAUUGCCUGCAUUUGAAAGUGUGGGAGGAAAGAUCAGUGUCUUACUGUGCAACUGACAGAGAUAAAAUGGCCAUGGUUUCAAGGUUGAGGGGGUGGGGCUGGGUGGAGGUGGGCCCUGCAGGAGAGAGGAACAGAGUGGGAUUUGCUUGGGUUCAUCUCAACAGGGGCCCCAGGAGCUGAGGGGAGAUGCUGGAUCUCUAGGGGCUGUGGAAGAGCCCUCAACUGACUCCUGGAAGCGAGAAGCAUCUGUUAGGAUGAAGGGAACACCCAGUGAAGGGCCAACAGGAGACCUUCAAGGAGCCCCCAGAUGCUCCCUAAGAAAAAUGAUCAGCUCCAAACACCUGCCAUACCAAGAAAAAACAGAUCUAGUUCUAUUCACAAUCAAGCAGAUUUUUCCUGCUCCUACAUCUCCAUUCUCCCUCUGCAGCUACCCCUGACAGUCAGCAACUGUCCACCACGUUGGGCUCUGUACAGACUGAUGGUUCUGUAUUGUGAAUAUACUCUCCCCAGAGACACUGUUCAACUGCAGAAAUCUGCCCCUGUGCCUUUAGAAUUCACCAGCAUCCUGGGGUGAAAGAGAUCCAAGGGAAGUUUUACCUUUCUCUCUGCCUCUUGGCAGGCAACCUGGAACAAGUCUUGAUGCAUGAUCCCAAACCAGACUAGCUACAUAAUCUGUGGGGCCUAAGGUAAGAUGAAAAGGUAGGGACCCUUGUUUAGAAAUUAUUAAGAAUUUUAAGACAGCAAUAACAGAACAUUAAACCAAGAGUAGGGCCCUUCUAAGUGUGGAGUCCUAUGUAAACUGCACAGGUCAGGGGCCCACGAAGCUGGCCCUGACCCCAAAUUAUCUCUUCCAUUAGUAAGCACUUAUAGAGGAGUCCGGAAUGUGGCUGCCUUUGAGGGAGAUCUUCCUUAAACUGCACCCUUCACAGUGAAUUAAACAAGCAUCAGCCAGCAGUUCUCUUCUACCUCCUUCAAGCAGGAAACUAAGGCAAUGGGAGCUGACUAGUGGCCGUUGUAACAGGGGAAUUCUAUGAAUGCAAGAAAGUCUCAGCCCAGCAAUGUGGCCAUGGGUCCCAGAGGAAAAAAUUCCUUGGCAGGUAGUCUUCAUGUGAGAGCUCGGGACGGCUGGAACAUUUAUUUACCUGCAAUCAUGAGAACUGAAGAGUGACUCUCAGCUCACAAUAGCAUGGGCUGGUCCUGAGCUGUUCAGGAUUUUGUGGGCUGGGUGGUGUAAAUCCUGGCCAGAUUCUCCUGGGAGGCAGCCAUACCCCCCGUGGGCAGGAAAACCUCCUGAGAGACUAAACAGGGCAAGCUUUUAAAAAAACAAAAUAAUUAGUAGAAGGAAGAGUGAGCACUUUCAAGGGGUCCCCUUCGGGGUCCUCACGCCUUUAACCACCCCUCCCUUCUUGGCUCACUGGUGAGUGUCAGCCCAGCGGGGACACAAAGAGAUCCCAGCUACAUAUCAGCAGCUCGCAAAGCAGAAGAAAGGCUCUGGUGUCCGGGCUUACUCCUGUUCCUUCAUCGUCUUAGAAAUAGGGACUUGGAGGCAAACAGUCCCAUUACAAUGACGAAGACUACUCUCAACAUGAUGCACCCAAAUGAAUGCAUUUACCAGUUUGAUGUCUGCCUUUCUUCCUGGUUUGUUGCAUUCCGUAGAAGCAGAUCCUGAUAAGAUGAUGAAGUGCACAUGUCUCUUGAGAAAAUGCUCUCAGGAGAAGGGGGGAAGGUAAGCCAGGUGCAGCAGAGGACUGAGCAAGGUUGGGGUCUCAGCUGGACACUUCUUGGACCUGUUCCCACGGGAGCUCUGGAGUAUGAACUGUACCACAGAAUUGUCUCACCUAGAGAUGCAGAACAGCAACCCAAGUCCCUUCUGGAAGCAGCCCUCUCCCUCCUGGCAGCUGACAGAAGUCUCUCUGGCCAGGCCGGCCUUUUGGCUGCUCUGCAUAUGGAAGUUCAAUUACUGUCAAUGGGAGGCCCAUCGGCAGGGUGAGGGCAGAAUACACAAUGGAGAUCGGUGUACCAGAUAGGCGCCUAGAUCAAAGAAGAACCCAGAGUUUGUGAAGUCCUUUCAUCCUCCCUGAUGAAAGGGAGAAGCUUACUGCUGUUUUCAUGGCUCUGCAUGCCCGGGGAAAGAGGAAGGCCACAGGAAGGUGACAGCUGAGGCAGGGUAUAACAGCAGGUCCCCAGGGUGGGUCAUUCACUGGGCUGACAAUCCAGUUGAUGCUUGCUUGGGUUGGGGCUCUGUGCUAAUUUGGAUGCUGACAGCCAGGUGACAGCAGCAGAGGGAAAGUAAGCUGAGAAGCAGAGAGGGGGAACCUUGAAAUGAUGCCUCUAAACGAUGGUUGACUUGUUUGUGACAUCACACCCCUAAGGCAUAGCUCUUUCCCCUGGGAGGGAUGCUGAGUGGCAAGUAGGCAGGCUGGGUACAUUUCCUUUUGGGAUGUGGUAGCGACAGUGUCCUACAGAGUCAGACUGGUGGCUUUAACAUCACAGGGCUUUGUCCAGCUGGAUCCGGAUAUCCAUUUGUCUAGAUUCCAUUUUCUCUGCUUCCUUUUUUAUUCCAGUAGAUAUAGCAGGCUUUCUCCCUGUAGCCAUGCAGAAGAGAUACAACUCAGAGGUGAUUCCUCUCAAAGGACAUAUUAGAUUCUUGAAGAGAGUCUAACAGGUUUAAGUGGGUCAGAUGCCAUGACUCAACAGCUUCCCCUUGAUCCUUUAAUCUCACAUCUGAAGCAUAAGACCUAUCCAGGUUACUUGGGGCAGCACCACCAUUGUACCAUUAAGGCUUCUCUUUCAGAAGGAUGAAUAAUCCAUCUGCAGCACUAUUUUACACUCUAGUUCAAUUCAAGACUCUGAAUAUGAUUUAUAAGUGUGAGUGAUUAUUUUAAGAUCAACCAGGGUUAAGCCAGGGAAAUUCUGUCCUCUGGUAGGGAGCCUCAAUGACCAGACCACUGUAAAGCCCCAGGAAUGCCAAGAACUCUGAAGAAGAAAGAUUCACCUCUAAGUGAGUUGGAGGAGGCAAAGACAAAAAACAAAAAACAAACAGUACAGGCCUUAGACUAAGGAGUGUGGGAAUGAGUUUCACCUCCAUUUCCAGCAACUGCCACGCAUAGAGUCUCUUCCAAAAAUGCCGGUGGCCUCAAAGAAGAGACAGCUGCUUCCCCAGCCCCUCAUUCAUCACCUGCUUGCUGGCCUAGGACUGAUAAGACAGAUCCAGAUCAAAUUACCUGGCAGCUGGGAGAGCAAGGAGAUAAGGAAAGGCAAGCUUAGGAGAAGUUCAGUAGAGUAGCAAAGAUCAAAUUGUGUAUUAAAUUUUCCAGGAACUAAAACCUUGCUCCCUCUGCAAACCCAGGGGAGGCACCUCCAAUCAGUCAGCACCAAACAGUGUUCCCAGGAGAAAAGCAAUGCCUUCAGCUUCUACUAGGAAUUAAGAAAACAGAGUACUGAGACCAAUUUAUUAUCACGCAGUUGGAUGAUAGGAAAAUGAAAACAAAGGUUAGAGGUGAACAUUAUAGAGGAGCCGAGUGGCCAAUGGCCAGAGAAACUUCAGGCAACAGAAGGAACACUGGGCUGAGCAAAAGACUUGGAUUCUUGUUCUAGCUCCAUCUCUCUCCCUUUGAAAAUGCACUUGAACCCCUCUGGGCUUUAUUUUUUUUUAUUUAUUUAUUUAUUUAUUUAUUUAUUUAUUUAUUUAUUUAUUUAUAAAAUGGUGGGGUGAGGAUUUCUUCAAGCUAAGAUCUUCCUGGCUUGAAGCUCUUAAAAUUUCUUGUUACUGCAGUCUUCCUAAGACAUUCCAUCUGAUGGUUUAUUCUUUUGACUCUGCCAUUUUACUCAACUAAACCUCAAAAUUCUUGACUAUGGAAGCCUCCAGAGGUGUUGUUAAAGCUUUAACUCUUUCAUUAAAAGCCAUGUGACUUGCUUUAUCCAAUGGGAGGUUAGUAGAUGUGACACAAACAAAUGCUCGAAAGAGUACUUGCAUGUUUCCAUUUACGUUUCUGUUCUUGCCUUCUGUCAUCACCAUGACAACAUGCCCAGUCUGGCUCCUGGAGGAUGGGACACACAACGUGGGAACCGGCAAGUCACCAGAGUCAUCUCAGCCAAGAUCAACCAAUAGUCAAUUACCAGGAACGUGAGAGAAUUCUGAGACCAGGACUGCUCAGCCACCUCUGCCUAAAAUACCAACACACAGAACAGUAAAGUGAAUGGAUGUUUAUUAUCCUAAGCCACUAUAUUUUGAGAUUGUACCUCAUGCAGCACUAUUAUGACCAUAGGUGACUGAUAUAAAAAGUAAGGAAUUAUGAAUCAUAAGAAAAAGAUGAACCAAGGAAAGAAUCAGCUUUGAAGAGGUGGUAAACUAUGGGAGUUGGGUAUGCUUUUCUGCAAUGAUCUUGUCUUAUUUUCUUUUUUUUUAAAGGAAGGCCUACCUGAAUAAUUCUGUGCAGGAAGAUAAAAGCAAGAUUAGAGUGAGACCUAUUCAGGGAGGUGUCAUUUUGUGAGCAGUUCAUGACCAUACCCAAUAAUCAGGGUCUGUCUACAUAUCUGAAUUUUAAUCCUUACAUAUAUGGCCUUAGAUGAACUAAAAUAAUUAUAAGAAGUUGUGUCAUUGUAGACUUCUAUUAAUAAACAUAUACCUACAUAUAUACAUGUUUAUGCACAAGAAUCAGCCUGUAUAGGCAUAUUUACCUAGGCAUAUUCAUUGCAUAGUGCUCUCAUGGUUGUGACUUGGGUGGGUGUAGCAAAGUGACAGGCCAGGAUCUCACCACAUAGGAAGAACUUUGGUCUGGCCAAGACAGGGCCAGCUAGUGGCCUCCCUGCCAUUAGCUCUGUCUGCCACCCAAGACAGAAGAAGCCAACAGUCCAAAGGGACAUAGCAGCUUCAUUUUGGUUCUAGUUAGUGGUGCCAUAGAAGAGGAACAGGCAGAUAGGAUCUCAUCUAGGCCAUGAGACAAGCAAGAGUUCUCAAGAAGGGUAGACUCUUAGAAACAGGAGGCCAGUGAGACAUGGAUCUAAGAGGCAUAGCCAGGUAGAAGCAGCCCUAGUCAAUGGCUAGAAGUAUAAUAUCCCAAUAAAAGAGGCAUUCUUAGAAAGCUGGGCAGCAUCUCAGGACCAC